rnacentral:rRNA from 1 species
AGGAUGAACGCUGGCGGCGUGCUUAACACAUGCAAGUCGAACGAUGAAGGCUGGAGCUUGCUCUGGCUGGAUUAGUGGCGAACGGGUGAGUAACACGUGAGUAACCUGCCCCAGACUCUGGGAUAAGCGCUGGAAACGGCGUCUAAUACCGGAUACGAGCUUCCACCGCAUGGUGAGGAGCUGGAAAGAAUUUCGGUCUGGGAUGGACUCGCGGCCUAUCAGCUUGUUGGUGAGGUAAUGGCUCACCAAGGCGACGACGGGUAGCCGGCCUGAGAGGGUGACCGGCCACACUGGGACUGAGACACGGCCCAGACUCCUACGGGAGGCAGCAGUGGGGAAUAUUGCACAAGUGGGCGCAAGCCUGAUGCAGCAACGCCGCGUGAGGACGAAGGCCUUCGGUGUAACCUCGUUUUAGUAGGAAGAGGACGUAGGUGUUUAUUCUACUUCUAUCGUACGGUACCUGAC